rnacentral:lncRNA from 1 species
UUGAUGGAUCACACGAAUGUGUCAUGGUUGCGGGCUCCCAUGCGCAACCCAUGACAUUCUCCCCCACCAAAUCUAGCGACGUCGUCGUUGCGUCCUUCGCGUGGUAACGAUCUAUCUUGUCUUCAAAUUGCCACAAGGCUUCAGCGGGUUCCCAACUUGUCUCACUAUCGGGGAAACCCUUCCAUCGGACUAGGUAUUCAUGCUGCGGUCGAUAGUACUUUCGUCUGAUCACACGAUCCCCCUCUAUGUUAUCCACUUCUCUAUCAUAGGCGGUUUUUACCCCCAUCGGUGCUCAUUUGGACUUUUUUCAGUUUGGGUCUUCUCCAUCUUCAUGGAAUGGCUUAAGCAUACUCACAUGAAACACUGGAUGGAGUUUGAGUUUUUCAGGCAACUCAAGCUUGUAAGCCACCUUGCCUACCUUCUUCAAAACUCGGAACGGCCUCUCAUAACGUCAAACAAGCCCUUUAUGCAACCCAUUGUGUCACCAAAUCUAGUGCAGUUUAGCAAGGACAGAGUCACCAACCUGAUAUUGCACAUCCCUUCGAUUCUGAUCCACCCACUUCUUGUUGCGCUUACUCGCCUUGUGAAGACAAGCUCUAGCCAAAUCGUUUUGCUAUUGCCAAUCUCUCGCAAAUCGAUAGGCUGCUAGAUUCGGUCCCCCAUAACGAGUUGCAACAUCAUUGGGUGUAAGUGGUUGUUGUCCUAUCGCUAUCUCGAACGGACUUUGGUUUGUCGCUCCACUUCUUUGCAAAUUGUAAGAAAACUGAGCCACAUCCAGCAACUUUGGCCAGUCCCUUUGUGUGGCACUCACAUAGUGCCGUAGAUAUAUCUCCAACAACGCGUUCACUCUUUUAGUUUGCCCAUCAGUUUGUAGAUGUAUGCUAGUUGACAAGCUUAAGUUCGAGCCCAUUAACUUGAACAACUCCAUCCAAAAUCGUCCCAUGGAUCGCCCAUCUCAAUCGCUGAUGAUGGAUUGUGGCACUCCCUAAUACUUCACCACAUGUCUAAGAAACAAGCGAGCAGCCUCCUCAGUAGGACACUUCUUGGUUGCGGGGAUAAAAGUUGCAUACUUCGAAAACCUGUCCACCACAACAAAAAUGCUUGCAAAUCCAUUAGAUUUAGGCAAACCUACAAUAAAGUCCAUGGAUAAGCUCUCCCAUGGGCGCUCCGGAAUAGGUAAAGGCUGUAGCAACCCAGCAGGAGCCUUCAACUCGAUUUUAUCUUGUUGGCACACCAAACAAGUUUUCACAUAAGUCUCCACAUCGCCACUCAUGUGAGGCCAAUAAAAUCGAUCCUCCAAGAGAGCCAAAGUGCGGUGCAUGCCUGGAUGUCCAGCCCAUCUUGAAUCAUGACAUUCUUUCAUGACUUCCUUUCGUAAGUUCCCAUGUUGGGGCACAUAUAGACAUUGUCCUUGAGUGUAUAGUAAUUCUCCCUCGAGCCAAAAUCGCCUCGUUUUUCCCUCUUUGGCAAGUUCAAUCAAAUUUUUGGCCGUGGAAUCGUGGGACAACCCUUCUUGAAUGCGCUCCAAUAAGGGACUAUUUGGUUGGCUUAUCGUUGCAAAUUCCAUCUUUCGGCUAAGCACAUCAGCUACUCUGAAGCAUCCCCCAAUUGCAUAGUCUAAAGCAUCAGUGCGUACCUCAUACGCCUUUGUAAAAUCUGGUAAAGCAAGUACAGGUUCACUCACCAUUGCUUGCUUUACUUGGUCAAAAGCUUUCUUACACCGAGAGUCCCAGUCCCAUACUUUGCCCUUUUUCAACAAGUCCGUCAAGGGUGUAGUGAUCUUGGAGUAGCCUUCAAUGAAACGUCAAUAGUAGUUUGCUAAACCAAGAAAGGACCGCAAUUCCGUUACCUUGGUUUGUGGCUCCCAAUCAGACUCGGACUUUGCUUGCAUCCAUUCGAAUCAUGCCACCUCCUACAAUAUGGCCAAGAAAAGGCACCUCUCGUUGGGCAAAUGAGCAUUUUUCCUCUUUCACAUACAGCUCAUUUUCCCGUAGGACUUGGAACACCUCCCUCAGAUGUCCAACGUGCUCCUCAAGCGUCUUACUAUACACCACAUUGUCGUCAAGAUAAACAACCACAAAGCGAUCUAAGAAAAGUUGUAAUACCUUAUUCAUUAGGGUGCAAAAUGUUGCCGGAGCAUUUGUCAACCCGAAGGGCAUCACCAAGAAUUCAAAAGACCCAUACCAAGUCACACAGGCUGUUUUGGGCUCAUCCCCUUUGGCUACUCUCACUUGAUAGUACCCCGAUCGCAAAUCCAACUUAGUAAACCAUCUCGCGCUACCAAGUUGAUCGAACAAAUCUGCAAUUAGAGGAACAGGAUACCUGUUCUUCACAGUGAUCUUGUUUAAGGCCCUAUAGUCAAUGCACAAUCUUAAGGACCCAUCAUGCUUCCUUUGGAAUAACACUGGGGCUCCAAAUGGGGCUUUGGAAGGUUUAAUGAACCCGGCAUCUAGAAGUUCCCUUAACUGCUUCCUCAAUUCCUCCAACUCAGGCGGAGACA